rnacentral:lncRNA from 1 species
UGGCCAAGAAUGACAUCCCUGCAAAAUCCUGAUUUCUGGCUUUACUGGAGGAGUCAGCAGAACUGGAAACCCCAGGAUACCUUUUGUGCUGUGCUGUUGUGCUCGGUAUUUCUAGCAUUUCCGAAAGCCACUUUCUUGGACAAAGAUGCUUACAUCCUGCAGCUCUUUCUCCACGCCCUUCUUGAAUGACUUCUACUUGCAAGGUGGCUGAGUACAUCACACAUUGGACAAGGGAUUACCUCACCUGACUCCCUCCACCUGUGACCCCAUGGUAUCAUCUUCUGUACAUCCACAGCAAACCCACUGGGACCGAAACAACUAGAGAAACCCGAAGACCUAGCAAAUGCCAUUUUGGUGAGGACAGAGACAUUUCCUGUUUCCAUCUCUGCUUUAUCCCCUGAGCCUUGCACAGUGCCUGG